UCAGGACGAACGCUGGCGGCGUGCCUAAUACAUGCAAGUCGAGCGGACCGACGGGAGCUUGCUCCCUUAGGUCAGCGGCGGACGGGUGAGUAACACGUGGGUAACCUGCCUGUAAGACUGGGAUAACUCCGGGAAACCGGGGCUAAUACCGGAUGCUUGAUUGAACCGCAUGGUUCAAUCAUAAAAGGUGGCUUUUAGCUACCACUUACAGAUGGACCCGCGGCGCAUUAGCUAGUUGGUGAGGUAACGGCUCACCAAGGCGACGAUGCGUAGCCGACCUGAGAGGGUGAUCGGCCACACUGGGACUGAGACACGGCCCAGACUCCUACGGGAGGCAGCAGUAGGGAAUCUUCCGCAAUGGACGAAAGUCUGACGGAGCAACGCCGCGUGAGUGAUGAAGGUUUUCGGAUCGUAAAACUCUGUUGUUAGGGAAGAACAAGUACCGUUCGAAUAGGGCGGUACCUUGACGGUACCUAACCAGAAAGCCACGGCUAACUACGUGCCAGCAGCCGCGGUAAUACGUAGGUGGCAAGCGUUGUCCGGAAUUAUUGGGCGUAAGCGCGCGCAGGCGGUUUCUUAAGUCUGAUGUGAAAGCCCCCGGCUCAACCGGGGAGGGUCAUUGGAAACUGGGGAACUUGAGUGCAGAAGAGGAGAGUGGAAUUCCACGUGUAGCGGUGAAAUGCGUAGAGAUGUGGAGGAACACCAGUGGCGAAGGCGACUCUCUGGUCUGUAACUGACGCUGAGGCGCGAAAGCGUGGGGAGCGAACAGGAUUAGAUACCCUGGUAGUCCACGCCGUAAACGAUGAGUGCUAAGUGUUAGAGGGUUUCCGCCCUUUAGUGCUGCAGCAAACGCAUUAAGCACUCCGCCUGGGGAGUACGGUCGCAAGACUGAAACUCAAAGGAAUUGACGGGGGCCCGCACAAGCGGUGGAGCAUGUGGUUUAAUUCGAAGCAACGCGAAGAACCUUACCAGGUCUUGACAUCCUCUGACAACCCUAGAGAUAGGGCUUCCCCUUCGGGGGCAGAGUGACAGGUGGUGCAUGGUUGUCGUCAGCUCGUGUCGUGAGAUGUUGGGUUAAGUCCCGCAACGAGCGCAACCCUUGAUCUUAGUUGCCAGCAUUCAGUUGGGCACUCUAAGGUGACUGCCGGUGACAAACCGGAGGAAGGUGGGGAUGACGUCAAAUCAUCAUGCCCCUUAUGACCUGGGCUACACACGUGCUACAAUGGGCAGAACAAAGGGCAGCGAAGCCGCGAGGCUAAGCCAAUCCCACAAAUCUGUUCUCAGUUCGGAUCGCAGUCUGCAACUCGACUGCGUGAAGCUGGAAUCGCUAGUAAUCGCGGAUCAGCAUGCCGCGGUGGAAUACGUUCCCGGGCCUUGUACACACCGCCCGUCACACCACGAGAGUUUGUAACACCCGAAGUCGGUGAGGUAACCUUUUGGAGCCAGCCGCCGAAAGGUGGGACAGAUGAUUGGGGUGA
rnacentral:rRNA from 1 species